GACGAACGCUGGCGGCGUGCUUAACACAUGCAAGUCGAACGCUGAAGCUCAGCUUUUGUUGGGUGGAUGAGUGGCGAACGGGUGAGUAACACGUGAGUAACCUGCCCCCUUCUUUGGGAUAACGCCCGGAAACGGGUGCUAAUACUGGAUAUUCACUGGUCUUCGCAUGGGGGUUGGUGGAAAGGGUUUUUCUGGUGGGGGAUGGGCUCGCGGCUUAUCAGCUUGUUGGUGGGGUGAUGGCCUACCAAGGCUUUGACGGGUAGCCGGCCUGAGAGGGUGACCGGUCACAUUGGGGCUGAGAUACGGCCCAGACUCCUACGGGAGGCAGCAGUGGGGAAUAUUGCACAAUGGGCGCAAGCAUGAUGCAGCGACGCCGCGUGAGGGAUGGAGGCCUUCGGGUUGUGAACCUCUUUCGCUCAUGGUCAAGCCGCAACAAUGGUUGUGGUGAGGGUAGUGGGUAAAGAAGCGCCGGCUAACUACGUG
rnacentral:rRNA from 1 species